rnacentral:rRNA from 1 species
UACGAAGGGGGCUAGCGUUGCUCGGAAUUACUGGGCGUAAAGCGCACGUAGGCGGAUCAUUAAGUCGGGGGUGAAAUCCUGGAGCUCAACUCCAGAACUGCCUCCGAUACUGGCGAUCUUGAGUCCGGGAGAGGUGAGUGGAACUCCGAGUGUAGAGGUGAAAUUCGUAGAUAUUCGGAAGAACACCAGUGGCGAAGGCGGCUCACUGGCCCGGUACUGACGCUGAGGUGCGAAAGCGUGGGGAGCAAACAGG